AUCGUUCUGAUGAGUCCCAAAUAAGACGAAACGUGCGUUCUGGAU
rnacentral:hammerhead_ribozyme from 1 species